GACGGAGGGGGCAAGCGUUGUUCGGAAUUAUUGGGCGUAAAGGGCUCGUAGGCGGACCGGUGUGUCUGGCGUGAAAUCUCCACUGCUUAACAGGGAGGGGCCGCUGGAAACUGCCGAUCUUGAGUAUGGUAGAGGACCAUGGAAUUCCGGGUGUAGCGGUGAAAUGCGCAGAUAUCAGGAGGAACACCGGUGGCGAAGGCGGAUCUCUGGGCCUUACCUGACGCUGAGGCGCGAAAGCUAGGGGAGCGAACAGG
rnacentral:rRNA from 1 species